rfam:Triticum urartu cultivar G1812 contig533469, whole genome shotgun sequence.
AUACCUUUCUCGAUCUUUUGGCUAAGAUCAAGUGUAGUAUCUAUUCUUAUCAGUUUAAUAUCUGAUAUGUGGGCCAAAUGCCCACAACGAUAUUAAAUUUAUUUUUUACAGGGAAGGGUCCACCACAAUAGUUUGCUAUUAGGGCCUUCAAGUGUCGUCCGGGCGUUGCACUACAGCCCAGACCCGGCACACCCCAA